GCCCUACGGGGCGCAGCAGUGGGGAAUAUUGCGCAAUGGGGGAAACCCUGACGCAGCAACGCCGCGUGAGUGAAGAAGGCCUUCGGGUUGUAAAGCUCUUUAAUCAGGGACGAAGAAUGACGGUACCUGAAGAAUAAGCUCCGGCUAACUACGUGCCAGCAGCCGCGGUAAUACGUAGGGGGCAAGCGUUAUCCGGAUUUACUGGGUGUAAAGGGAGCGUAGACGGCGAUGCAAGUCUGAAGUGAAAGGCGGGGGCCCAACCCCCGGACUGCUUUGGAAACUGU
rnacentral:rRNA from 1 species